rnacentral:tRNA from 1 species
GGGCUCGUAGUGAUAAAAGGCAGCACGGCUGUUUUGCACACAGCAGGCGACGGAGCGUUACCGUCCGAGUCCACCA